rnacentral:rRNA from 1 species
CCCUUAGAUGUUCUGGGCAGCACGCGCGCUACAAUGGUCUUCGCAAACGGAUGCAUUCUCGAAGGAGAAUGCCAAUCUUGGAAUCUAUGCCUUGGUCGGGACAGUUGCUUGCAAUUUUUCGACUCGAACCAGGAAUUCCUUGUAAUCGUGAUUCAUCACAUCACGAUGAAUACGUCCCUGCCCUUUGUACGCACCGCCCGUCGCUCCUACCGAUCGAAGAGUUAGGUGAAUUGUUUUGAUCGAUACGAUUUGACUAUGGUCAACUCUCGUUGUGAAAUUCUGUGAAUCUGACUGUUUAGAGGAAGGAAAAGUCGUAACA